GCUGGUGUGAUGGAAUAGGCAGACAAACGGGACUUAAAAUCCUGUGGGAAUUUCCCGUGUGGGUUCGAUCCCCACCACCAGUA
rnacentral:tRNA from 1 species